rnacentral:rRNA from 1 species
AUACGUAGGGUGCGAGCGUUGUCCGGAAUUACUGGGCGUAAAGAGCUCGUAGGUGGUUUGUCGCGUCGUCUGUGAAAUUCCGGGGCUUAACUCCGGGCGUGCAGGCGAUACGGGCAUAACUUGAGUACUGUAGGGGAGACUGGAAUUCCUGGUGUAGCGGUGAAAUGCGCAGAUAUCAGGAGGAACACCGGUGGCGAAGGCGGGGCUCUGGGCAGUAACUGACGCGGAGGAGCGAAAGCAUGGGUAGCGAACAGGAUUAGAUACCCUGGUAGUCCAUGCCGUAAACGGUGGGCGCUAGGUGUAGGGGUCUUCCACGACUUCUGUGCCGUAGCUAACGCAUUAAGCGCCACGCCUGGGGAGUACGGCCGCAAGGCUAAAACUCAAAUGAAUUGACGGGG